CCUACGGGAGGCAGCAGUGGGGAAUUUUGGACAAUGGGGGCAACCCUGAUCCAGCAAUGCCGCGUGAGUGAAGAAGGCCUUCGGGUUGUAAAGCUCUUUUGUCAGGGAAGAAACGGGUGGGGCUAAUAUCCUCAUCUAAUGACGGUACCUGAAGAAUAAGCACCGGCUAACUACGUGCCAGCAGCCGCGGUAAUACGUAGGGUGCAAGCGUUAAUCGGAAUUACUGGGCGUAAAGCGUGCGCAGGCGGUUAUGUAAGUCAGAUGUGAAAUCCCCGGGCUCAACCUGGGAACUGCAUUUGAGACUGCAUGGCUAGAGUGUGUCAGAGGGGGGUAGAAUUCCACGUGUAGCAGUGAAAUGCGUAGAUAUGUGGAGGAAUACCGAUGGCGAAGGCAGCCCCCUGGGAUAACACUGACGCUCAUGCACGAAAGCGUGGGGAGCAAACAGGAUUAGAUACCCUGGUAGUCCACGCCCUAAACGAUGUCUACUAGUUGUCGGGACUUAAUUGUCUUGGUAACGCAGCUAACGCGUGAAGUAGACCGCCUGGGGAGUACGGUCGCAAGAUUAAAACUUAAGGAAUUGACGG
rnacentral:rRNA from 1 species